AUCGCUUCUCGGCCUUUUGGCUAAGAUCAAGUGUAGUAUCUGUUCUUAUCAGUUUAAAAAUCAUUGCUAUAUAAAGAGGAAAUCACAAGUAUGUAACCAAG
rnacentral:snRNA from 1 species